GAUGAACGCUGGCGGCGUGCCUAAUACAUGCAAGUCGAGCGAACAGACGAGGAGCUUGCUCCUCUGACGUUAGCGGCGGACGGGUGAGUAACACGUGGAUAACCUACCUAUAAGACUGGGAUAACUUCGGGAAACCGGAGCUAAUACCGGAUAAUAUAUUGAACCGCAUGGUUCAAUAGUGAAAGACGGUUUUGCUGUCACUUAUAGAUGGAUCCGCGCCGCAUUAGCUAGUUGGUAAGGUAACGGCUUACCAAGGCAACGAUGCGUAGCCGACCUGAGAGGGUGAUCGCCCACAAGGGAACUGAGACACGGUCCAGACUCCUACGGGAGGCAGCAGUAGGGAAUCUUCCGCAAUGGGCGAAAGCUUGACGGAGCAACGCCGCGUGAGUGAUGAAGGUCUUCGGAUCGUAAAACUCUGUUAUUAGGGAAGAACAAAUGUGUAAGUAACUAUGCACGUCUUGACGGUACCUAAUCAGAAAGCCACGGCUAACUACGUG
rnacentral:rRNA from 1 species